rnacentral:lncRNA from 1 species
GGCUUGUCUCUGACCUGUUCUGCCUAUCCUCAUCCUCAUACUGACUUCUUGCCCAAUUUCAUCAACAUCUUCUCUGAGCCACAUUGAAUGCCAAGGAAGAUGGCCAAGCACAGUCAGGCUUAGCAGAGAAGCGGGGUCACUGCAGCACAGCCCCAUCUGUGCACACACAUGCGGUAAUCGGAUGCUUCAGCAGCUGUUACAUGAAGGCCUGGCAAGAAAAACACACAGUCAGGAAAUGCUGGGGAGAGUCUUCAAGCCAUGGGCUGCUGCUGAAGAAUGCUGGGAAAGAGACAAAGGAUCAGAGAGUCCCACCCUGAUCAGAGAGGCAGGCAGCUGUCUUCAGUAGCAACUCUUCAAUGAAGACUCUCAUUAUCCUUCAAGAUUGAAAGUGCCUUAUUACUCACAUCUCACAUCCUUAUUAGAUCCUUUGCCUGGGGAGCAGAGGAAUGGCCUCCAGAACCUCCUUUUUUUUUAAAGAAGAGGUAUGAGUAGUCUUCUCAACUUUUACCAUCAUCUACACUGCUUUUGGAUUUCCAAGUCCCCAAAGUUCCACUUUCACCUUUCAUCUUUCUUUAUGAGUUUUCUCUCCUCAUUAAACUGUCAACUCCUUGAGGGUAAGAUCUGUGU